rnacentral:rRNA from 1 species
UGGGGAAUAUUGCACAAUGGGCGAAAGCCUGAUGCAGCAACGCCGCGUGAGUGAUGAAGGCCUUCGGGUUGUAAAGCUCUGUCUUCUGGGACGAUAAUGACGGUACCAGAGGAGGAAGCCACGGCUAACUACGUGCCAGCAGCCGCGGUAAUACGUAGGUGGCAAGCGUUGUCCGGAUUUACUGGGCGUAAAGGAUGCGUAGGCGGAUACUUAAGCCAGAUGUGAAAAUCCCGGGCUUAACUUGGGAACUGCAUUUGAAACUGGGUAUCUAGAGUGCGGGAGAGGAAAGUGGAAUUCCUAGUGUAGCGGUGAAAUGCGUAGAGAUUAGGAAGAACACCAGUGGCGAAGGCGACUUUCUGGACCGUAACUGACGCUGAGGCAUGAAAGCGUGGGGAGCAAACA